CUUUGUUUUAUUACAGAACUAUAAAUGGAUACCUACAGUUAAAAACACAAACUAGAUAAUGUUUUUGUAAAAGAAACAUGUAUAUUCAAGUGCUUUUACAGGUAACUAAAAAAAUUGAGACCUUUAGUUUAAAAUACAAAAAAAUGCUUUUAAAUAAUUUCUCUGUAAAAAUUUUUUAAAGUUACUUAACUCCACUGUUUGCUGUGGUUUUGCUUUGUUUACGUGAUUUGCCAAUUAUCCUGAUUUUCAAAUCACUCACAAGAGUUUAAUGACAAGAAAGAAAACUUAUAUUGGAUAAAUAACUCAAGUAAAUGAGACAUGUUAAUUAGAUGAUAAAAACAAAGUAUUAAUUAAGGGGGAAAUAUUUUACAGCAAAUUUCUAUGAAAAUGGUUUACUAAUUUUAAGAGAUAAAUUGUUUUAUUUAGGUUGAAAUAUGGUUUAUGGUAUAAAGAAUUUAUUGUUAUAUGGGUUUUUGGAGUAUUGGUGAAUAAAAACGUUGUUGACAAUUUAAUCUGGUUGAUUUUUCAGCUGCAUUGUUUAACAUCUAUGUUAAAUUGUGUUAUUUCUGUGUGAUGGCUAUUUAUGUUUUUGUGUGAAAUGUAGUUUCGGAAAUCCGGUCGUUAUGGGUGUUAAAGGGUGAAGCAUUGGUGUAUGCCAAACUCUUGUUUAAUGUUUUAAAUGCAGGACUCCAGGAGCAUAUAAUAGUAAAAAAUAAAGAAGAAUAAAAUGACAGCGAAACCUAAACAAAAAAUAAACAAUAUCACAAAAACAGGAAAACCGCCAAACUUGUCGUUUAAUGUUUUAAAUACAGGACUUCAGCAGCAUAUAAUAGUAAAAAUAAACAAAAAAGAAACAAGAUGAAAUAACAGGAAAAACAAACAAAAAAUAAACAAUAUCAUAAUAACAGGGAACCUAAACAAUUGUGGGUAAGCAAAAAUAAACAAUUGUGUAAAUGAAAAAAUCUACACUAUACAGUUGAGGGCUUAAGAAAACUCUCAGUCUGUCUGUCGUCAUACAGCGUCACCUUAGUGACCCCCCUUAAUGAUUAGCGGGGCGGCGCAUUCCCUUUCACGGUUAAGCGCACGUGGCGAUGACCGAUAGCAAAUCGAGGCAGGAAGUAGGGGGUCGUGGUCAAUAAAUUUAAAAGACAAUUUUUUUCUUUUUUUUUAGUUUCAGUCAAGGAUGCCUCAAAAGGGGUCAACACACCACGAUUUCUUUUAAAUAAAUGAAAUCAUGAUUUCUUUUAAAUAAACUAGCAGGUCAAAUUUCUUUUAUAUUUACUAAAAGAGGUGUAUGUUUCUGAAUGGAGAAAGUAACACUAGUUUUUUAGGGGAAUUUAUCCAUUUGUACUGAAUUUUAGUGAUUUUUAAAUAAUUUUUUAUUUUUGGCUCAUGAUAUUUUUUAAAAUUAUAACAAUUUUUUUGGGAUAAAUUUAUCGAUUUGAAUUGAAUUUUAUUUAUUAUUGAAUAAUUUCAAUAUUUUCGGCUUGACAUACUUUUUCUAAUAAAUUUCAAAUAUUAAAUAAUAAUAACCCACAUUAAAAACAUACAAUUUUAUCGAAAACUUAUACACUUGCUGUUUUUCUAAAGCUCUUAAAUUGUAGUUUAGAGUUAAAAUUUAGAAUUUUGAACAUCAACAACCCUAUUGAUCGGUAAUUUGAACCUGGCCAUAUUAUUUACUUGCCAGUUUCUAACCUCAUAUGACAGUGGGCAUUGUUAUGUAACAAUACACCAUUGGAAUGUAAUAAUUAGCAAUGCUUAUAAGCAGAUACAAAAAUAAGCCAUGGGCUUUUAGAGGGUGCCUAUUAUACUCAUGGGUGACUGGGUAACAAAUGGACAUUUAUGUUUCGGUUUUAAAUAACAAUUAUUCUUGUUGUUUUAGAUUAUACACGCAGUCUAUUUGCGAUAUAUAAAAAAAAAUUAAAAAAAAUUUAAUAUAAAAAAAUUAAACAUUUUAGUAUAAAAAAAAUGUUUCGUUACAUUUAAUUUAGACAACACAAAAUUACAAAUUUUCUUCAAUCAAAAUGGAAAUUCCAGUUUAAAGACAAGAAAUCCUAUAAACAAAUAAAAAAAAUUAUUAAAAAUAUUAAUUUUUUCUUCGACCAAAAUUAGAAAAGAAAUCCCAUAUGAAAUGGAAUAUUCCCCAAAAACAUUUUUUUUAUUAAAAAUAUCAAAAGCUUUACGUUUAUUAGGUAAAUCCAGAUCAACCAAUAAAGUGCGAGUAAUUAGGCUGGCUUGCGGGUAGGGUUUAUGACACAACAAACAUCCUAUACCUCAUUUAACCCAACGACAAAUAUUGGCUAUGAGGUGAAACUUGUGGCGGAGGUUAUUAAAUUGAGAUUCCUAACUUGUGCAAAUAGGAAAUCAUUUUACAACAGAAUUUGCUGUUUAAACUGAGAGAAUGGAAUGCAAUUAUAACAAAUUACUUCUGAAAGAAACCAUUGUUCUCGCACGGAAUUCAACGGCACAAUAAAAUAAUGAAUUAAAAAAAAGGAAUUUUUCUGUAGUUUAAUCACUGCUAAAUGAUAGAUCUUGUUAAAGUUGUUAUUUGCUUUCAACGCAAAAUUAAAAAGCUAUUGUUCACCCAAAAUUGCAACAAUUCAAACACACAAUCAGUUAAAGAUCUCUUUUUUUACAUAGAAUGAUAUUGAUAACUGCUAAACAGUAGGUCUUGUUAUUUGCUUACAAUUCAAAAUUAUAAAUUACUUCUGAAAAAGCUAUUGUUCUCCCAAAAUUGCACGAAUUCAAAGACAUAAUGAAUUAAAAAGACCUGAAUUUUAUACGUAGUUUUAACUGUUAAACAUAAACAGUAGGUCUUGUUAUUCGCUAUAGGCUCAAAAUUAUAUCUUAGGCAAACUGUCUGUCAAAAAUGACGCACAGAAAAGCUGCAAAUCCUAGCUGUUAAGUUAUCAUCCGGUUUAGAGCAGAUUUAUCCUGUUUAAGCUGGUUUUUACCGGUAAUUAAUUUCAGUAGCUUAGAAAUUGUCUUGGUAAUGUCAAGUUAAAUUAAACGUGAAAUGACCAGGCUAAUUUUGUGAAGCAAUUAAUGCUAAAUUUAUCUUUACUACGUAUGUGGCCACUUUGCUUUACAUAUUUUGAAAUUAGAUAAAAAGGUUAACUUUACAGUUUGUGGCCAAAAACUGGCCGGUUGGUCUAAAAUAGGCAUAUUGUGUUUUAAAUUAAGUAAGAUGAAAGGAAAAAAACGAAGUGCUAACGGAAGUUUGUGGUAUUUAUAUAAGUAUUCGGAAAACGCGAUAAUACCAUGCUAUUGCGCUGUGGUUUGACUAUUGAGCAGUACAAAGCAGUUGGCCCAAAAUUCAAUAUUAAUAAUUGAAAUUCCAACUGUGAUUUUUAAGAGUGGAGAAGGUAGAAAACGUGAGACAGUGAAUUUAAUUUAAAGUUGUUUUUCCGUGACUAUGCAUUUAUUAGAAUGUCCAAUACUAAAAAAGUCGUGUAUCUUUCGUCACUAGGUAAUCUACCUUAAACACGCACGCCAGGGCCAUGAAACGCACAUUUAAGCAUAGAUCAUUCAACAGACUGCAGGGCACGGAUAGAAAACAUUAAAAAUUUGAGCUCUGAAGUGUCAGGCACUUGACUUUUACACUGCGAUUAAAAUUCCUAGUUUCAAUUGCCCCCUUCCUUUAAAAUAAACGCACAAAAUCAGUUGGUAGGUGCUUGAAAUUUGGCAGAAACUUUGAUUUGGAAACCUAUGGCUCAAUGAAAAUCGUUGCAAAACGACAAAACAAGCACGCAAUUGGACAAUAGGAUUUCAAUUAAGCCAAUCAAAACUAUAAAUUGGUCAAUUCGAAGCCAGGUUGUUUGGGCAAUUUUACACAGGUUAAUAUAAAAAAGACCAAAAAAAUUUAAACUUUAAAAUUGCAAUUUUUAAAAGGAUACUUUACCACAAUGAAUGUUUUUGGUAACAAAUUUUAACUUCAAAUUAUUAAAAUUUUCUGCUGUGAAAUACAGCGCACCAGAAACCCAUAAUUUUGCAGACUUUAGCUAAGCGUGCAGUUUUAAUUGGUGGAAUCGAAUACACCUUUGGUUUGCAAGUGCUAAAGGUUGGGACCAAAUCAAUAUUUCUGUGACAAGUUUAAGCUACAAAUGCAACUUGUUAUAUAAUCUAAGGUGUGCAGGGGGAAAUAUAAAACUGUAUUUUUAGGUCGGAGGUUUUUGUGGAAGGUUUAAGCCCAGGGUCACUUCUUAACUUACAGGUGGGGUAGGGAGAGGUAAUAGGGGGGUAUGUGGUAGGGUUAGGGGGUUAAAAUUUUUUUUGCCAAUUUUGCAAAUUUAUACAAAUACAAGUAUAUAUAGUAGGAUGGGGGAAGAUGGGACACCUUAUCAUUCUAUUUUCUCGUACAUUUUAUUAGUAAACGAAAAUUUAAAGAAUUAUAAUAUCUUGUGCUCGCAACUUUUAUAGACUGUUGUUAAUUGUUUAAAACACGACCAGGAUAUUUAUAUAUUUUGUGCUAAAGGUGUCCCAUCUUCCCCCACCCCACUAUCUAUAUACUUUCAUAUUAAAUAUAGAAAUAUAAAUUUUAAGAACAAAUCAUAUUUUAUUAUUAAUAACAAAUCAUAUUAAGUUUUGUACAAAAUUCCAAUGAACUUGAGAAACUAUGAAAGUAUUACAAUUAGGUGUUAAACAAUUCAAUGAACAUUUAAAAUGCAUAGUCGCCACUAAAGAAUGCGCUACUGAAAAAAUAUAUUAAAAUUUAAAUAACAAAAAAUUAGGGGCAGUAACACACUAAUAAAACGUCUUUUACAUUUCUGCAAAAUAGCGUUUUUAUGGUGUUCUACGUGCGAAUGGUGUUAUUGUUUUCGCACGCACAAAAGCAGUUCAUAUAAACAAGAGGGAAAAUAGCAUUGAAGAUAAACCAUGUGUAACCAUAUCUACAGUCAGACCAUGUUGGUAAUGGGGGCAGAUUUUUUGCAUUUUUUUUAAAACAUGGCAGUCUUCCAAACACUAUGUCCUGAAAUCCACAUUUUGCGUUCCUGGUAUUUGUAACUGGUUAAUAUUACGUUAGAAAACUUAGCAUAACGCUAAAACGUGAAUUAUAUACAUAGGAUUUUAAGGUUAUAAGAAACAGUACAGUUAGAAACAAAUACACUUGGCAGACUUAUACAGAAAUCAUUUUUUUAAAUGACGUUUUAGUCAAUCAAAAAAUUGAUGGCAUGAAAUUACUGACAGAAUGAUCUUGAAUCUUAAUCAAAAUAAUUAUAUAUAGAAUCCCACGACCACAAAAGGCAGAACACACAAAAAGCAGUAACCACUGCACCAAAGAGUGUAUAUACCUAGGGAAAUAAUGCGUGCGAAUGCCAAACCGAUGGUGGCAGCAGUUUUCUCUAGGGGUUUGUGGUUCGUAUGAAGACACAGGAAUAGAUAGGUCAUGCUAAAGGUGAAAUCCAGAUAGAGAAUUGGCCGCAAAACACAGGUUUGCAAAGAGUGACAUUAUAAAGAGAAAUUGACUGAAUGGUUUUAUUGUUAUUUAUUUUUUUCAAAACUGAUAUGAACAAAAAACUAUUGGCGAAAAUACUUUUAGGUAACUUUUACAUACUAGUGGUCUUUACGUAGAUUUUACAGAGUAAUUUUAAAACGCAUUUUUUAGCAUUAUAAUACUAAUGUAUUAACAAAAAUACUUUUAGGUAACUUUUACAUAGUAGUGUGCCUUCUUUUUAAAACUUUUACAAAGCAAUUUUCAACCGCAUUUUUUCAGCAUCAGGCUAUAAUACCAAUGUGAACAUAAAUCCAUUAAUGAAAUAAUGUUUUAGAUUAGCAUAGAAUCAUUUUCCAGCCAAAAUCGCUUGCCUAUCUAAACCAGUUUAGAAAAUAUCUCGUUGGUGGGUGCAAUUUUGAAACAUUGCAUCGAAAACAAAUUUUUAGGCAUUAAGUUGAAAAAGAGAUUGAUACGAGGUGGACAGUUUGCUGGAUUGCUCACGAAUGAUCGUUGUAACUUGAGCUCGCAAAGCUGGAGGCCACAGCGUAAUUAUAAUAAAAGAGAUGGGUUGUUUAUGCAAGGGAUUUGCUCAGUGUUGCGCGGCACAUUUUUUUUAAAAAAAAAACAACUUUUUUUUUCCAAAAAAAAUUGCAAAACGAUGCGGCAACAGUAAUAUGCCUGCAGGGAAUUUUAGUUUUUAAAAAAUUUGUUUUGUUUUUUCCCUUUUUUUAGUUUCAAACACAAUAAACUGAGUUGUGUUUAAAUAUCAGUAAUAGAAGCUGAGAAAAUCAGUUUCAUGUUUUUUUUCAAAAAACUUGGCUUUUAAGUUUUAUUUUAUUUUUUACCACACAGUAAACACUGAGUUGUGUUAAAAUACCACUAAUAAAAGCUGAAAAAAUCGGACCAAUGUUUUUUUCUUCAAAAACUUGGCUUUUGAAUUUUAUUUUUAUUUUUUAACAUACACUAAACAGUGAAUUGUGUUUAAAUAUCACUAAUAAAAGCUGAGAAAAUCAGUUUAACUGCAAGCUUUAUUCAUCGAAUGACUAGACUUAUGAGGUUACUCAUGUAUGGAGUGAUUCAUGGUUUGGAUUGAAUUCGAUUGAUGAACGUUAUGUGGUAAGUAGUGUUGAUAUAAAUGCCUCUGAAGUUAUUUUGGUCAUGAAGAGCGUUUAUACAAUUUCAGUCAAAAUUUUGCGGCAUUUUAAAUGUUUAAGCAACUGAAUUAAAUUUGCCAUUAUAAAUUACCUAAACAAUUUAUUUUUGUAAAAAAAAAUUAAAUUUCCCUUUUUUUAAAAAGUAAACAUUAAGUCAGAAAUUUUUCAGUUUAAAUCUGGAAACACUGGGAAAAGUGAAACGGCAACACUGCUACUCAUUUUCAGAUUAUAGUGGGCCGGAUAACUACUCUAGUAAAGGUAAGUGAGCAGCCAACUCUGCACAAUAGGAGCAACACAUCAAAGACCAUUGAAAGCAGUGAUGCGCAACGAAAUUAUGAUAUCAUUUCCUGACUAAAA